rnacentral:rRNA from 1 species
GAUGAACGCUGGCGGCGUGCCUAAUACAUGCAAGUCGAGCGAACGGACGAGAAGCUUGCUUCUCUGAUGUUAGCGGCGGACGGGUGAGUAACACGUGGAUAACCUACCUAUAAGACUGGGAUAACUUCGGGAAACCGGAGCUAAUACCGGAUAAUAUUUUGAACCGCAUGGUUCAAAAGUGAAAGACGGUCUUGCUGUCACUUAUAGAUGGAUCCGCGCUGCAUUAGCUAGUUGGUAAGGUAACGGCUUACCAAGGCAACGAUGCAUAGCCGACCUGAGAGGGUGAUCGGCCACACUGGAACUGAGACACGGUCCAGACUCCUACGGGAGGCAGCAGUAGGGAAUCUUCCGCAAUGGGCGAAAGCCUGACGGAGCAACGCCGCGUGAGUGAUGAAGGUCUUCGGAUAGUAAAACUCUGUUAUUAGGGAAGAACAUAUGUGUAAGUAACUGUGCACAUCUUGACGGUACCUAAUCAGAAAGCCACGGCUAACUACGUG